GACGAACGCUGGCGGCGUGCUUAACACAUGCCAGUCGAACGGAAAGGCGCUGCUUUUGUGGGGUGCUCGAGUGGCGAACGGGUGAGUAGCGCGUGAGUAGCCUGCCCUGGACUUUGGGAUAACUUCAGGGAACGGGGGCGAGUACCGGAUGGGAGCUCCUGCGGCAGGGGGGGGGUUGGAAAGUGUCGGCGGUUGGGGAUGGACUUGCGGGGUAUCAGGGUGUUGGUGGGGUAGGGGCUGAGCUAGGCUUUGACGGGUGGCCGGCCUGAGAGGGUGACCGGCCACAUUGGGACUGAGACACGGCCCAGACGCCUACGGGAGGCAGCAGUGGGGAAUAUUGCACAAUGGGCGGAAGCCUGAUGCAGCAGCGGCGCUUGCGGGAUGAAGGCCUUCGGGUAGUAAACCGCUUUCGCCUGUGACGAAGCGUGAGUGACGGUAAUUGGUUAAGAAGCACCGGCUAACUACGUG
rnacentral:rRNA from 1 species